rnacentral:lncRNA from 1 species
GAAUUGGUUGUUUUUGUAUUUUUCAUAAAGGUCUUUCGCUCUGGCAGACCGCCUUCCGUCAUGUCUGCCCGAUAGCAUGUUCUUGGGAAGAGGCUUCACCACGAGCUGACGUCUGAUCGCCUGGGGUAGCGAGGUACGCCCCGCCGAAUCCAUAACAGGGCACUGUGUUACUCC